GAUGAAGAACGCAGCGAAAUGCGAUAAGUAGUGUGAAUUGCAGAAUUCAGUGAAUCAUCGAAUCUUUGAACGCACAUUGCGCCCCUUGGUAUUCCAUGGGGCAUGCCUGUUCGAGCGUCAUUUGUACCUUCAAGCUCUGCUUGGUGUUGGGUGUUUGUCUCGCCUCUGCGUGUAGACUCGCCUCAAAACAAUUGGCAGCCGGCGUAUUGAUUUCGGAGCGCAGUACAUCUCGCGCUUUGCACUCAUAACGACGACGUCCAAAAGUACAUUUUUACACUCUUGACCUCGGAUCAGGUAGGGGUACCCGCUGAACUUAAGCAUAUCAAUAAGCGGAGGA
rnacentral:misc_RNA from 1 species